AAUGAACGCUGGCGGCAGGCCUAACACAUGCAGGUCGAACGGAUCCUUCGGGAUUAGUGGCGGACGGGUGAGUAACGCGUGGGAACAUACCCUUUGGUACGGAAUAGCCUCGGGAAACUGGGAGUAAUACCGUAUGUGGUCGAGAGACGAAAGAUUUAUCGCCAAAGGAUUGGCCCGCGUUGGAUUAGGUAGUUGGUGGGGUAAUGGCCUACCAAGCCGACGAUCCAUAGCUGGUUUGAGAGGAUGAUCAGCCACACUGGGACUGAGACACGGCCCAGACUCCUACGGGAGGCAGCAGUGGAGAAUCUUAGACAAUGGGGGAAACCUUGAUCUAGCUAUGCCGCGUGAUCGAUGAAGGCCUUAGGGUUGUAAAGAUCUUUCAGGUGGGAAGAUAAUGACUGUACCACCAGAAGAAGCCCCGGCUAACUCCGUGCCAGCAGCCGCGGUAA
rnacentral:rRNA from 1 species